rnacentral:rRNA from 1 species
GACGAACGCUGGCGGCGUGCUUAACACAUGCAAGUCGAACGGAAAGGCCCUGCUUUUGUGGGGUGCUCGAGUGGCGAACGGGUGAGUAACACGUGAGUAACCUGCCCUUGACUUUGGGAUAACUUCAGGAAACUGGGGCUAAUACCGGAUAGGAGCUCCUGCUGCAUGGUGGGGGUUGGAAAGUUUCGGCGGGUGGGGAUGGACUCGCGGCUUACCAGCUUGUUGGUUGGGUAGUGGCUUACCAAGGCUUUGACGGGUAGCCGGCCUGGGAGGGUGACCGGCCACAUGGGGACUGAGAUACGGCCCAGACGCCUACGGGAGGCAGCAGUGGGGAAUAUUGCACAAUGGGCGGAAGCCUGAUGCAGCGACGCCGCGUGCGGGAUGACGGCCUUCGGGGUGUGAACCGCUUUCGCCUGUGACGAAGCGGGAGUGACGGUAAUGGGUAAAGAAGCACCGGCUAACUACGUG